UAGCCAUUCUCUGUCCUUCAUCUCCCAGCAGGAAGUACUCAGAGGGACACUACCUUUAAACAUGGAGACUUCCAUUUAGCUAUCAUAGUGAGCAGCCAUGGAUAGAUCUAUACUGCAGGAAUUCUCUAGUCCAGUGAUUCUCAAACAUUCUUUUUCUGUAACCUGCUUGACAGUUGCUGAGGAGAUGCCGUGACUUGUAGUCUGAGUCCCCUAUGUGACGAUGGAUGCUCCAAACAUCUGCCUCUACUGCUGCUGCCACCUCUUCUCCUGCCCCAGUAUCUCUAGCGUCAGGUGUGAUGGGUUUGAACGAGGAUCCCCAUGAGUUCGCUGAUCCUCUGGUUGCUGGUUUUAGGAUGAAACUACAGACCUCAGCUGGGGCACCAGCACCUCCUGUGACUACAGAAAGCCAGUCCCAUGCCACUGACUGCUAGAUCAACUGCAUCUCUUCAGUUUGGGUAGUUUGCUGUUUAAGGAGGCCACAGCAGCCUCUGUGCUCCUGGGUUACCUGUUCACUGACCUCCCCAGUGGAUAGAUACCAACUUGCCUUCUAUCCCAGGUACUUUCCCUGACUGCCUGAGUUCCUGGCUUGAUUGUUUCCUUAACUGGUCAGCGUUUUAUAUAUUAAAUACACUUCGAUUCAUACAUUUUAUAAUAGUGGAUGUAAAGGUAUGUAAUUGUGUGUUGCAUAAACAUUGUGCCCCCAGUCCUACUUAGCUAACCAUAUGCAUUGCACUUUCAACAGAGUUGUAAAUGGGAAAUAAUGCUGUGAAAUUACAAAAUUUGCUGCUUUGAAAUUGCCUUUGUGCAUGCAUUCUCUGUCUUAUGUUGUUCCACUUGGCCUAGAAUUAUAUUUUCAGAAUGAUUAUGAACUUUGUAUUAUGUCUUUUCAGAAUGAAAGCUUUUUAAUUCACUGAUGUUUAAGCACUUGCAAGAUGAGGGCUCUUAAAGUGUUAUUAUCCUAAUGCUUUCAUGAAUAACUAUUAUACAUUGCCAGAUAUCUUGGGGGUGGAGAGAGGGGGAGGAACUGCAUCUGUGAGCUUUCAUACUGUAGAACACUGUAGGAUCCCACCAUUCUUACUGAUUCUGUUCCUUAAACCAGCCUGUCAUGUGGAAAUGUACCUGGUGAAGCUUUAACCAUCACUUAUCUCCACUUGAGGACUUCAUUGGCUUAAAUUCUGUGUGGUGGGAUUCUGUUAAAGGCACAGAAGCAAACCCAGUACAAACAAAAAAGGUGGCAAUUUCCUAGCCAGGGUGGCCAGCUGGCCAAGAAAAAGCAACACUUUUGAUCCUAUGCCUCAAAUUAUGCCUCUGAUCUGCAGACAACUGCAGGUGACACUUUUCAUGCUAUGAUAAUCACCUGCUAAUACUUGCAGAUCAAGCUGCUAUUAAGGCAGAGGAACAAUAGCCCUUACAAAGUUGACAAUUCCACUCCCAGCUGUUCUCUCCCUCUGUACAGAAGCGAGCUCAGAAUGAAGAGAGAUCUUUUGAGCAUUUAGGGAUGUGCUACUUAUUAAAUGCUCUGUGGAAGAUUACAGCAAUAUCUGGCAGCAUUCCUAUUUAAAUGCAAUAACUCAGCAGCACACCGUCCCCUGUCUUGCCACUGUGAUUUAUUGCUUUGGAUUGUGAUCAUGCCAUGUUUUGAAAAGCUUGAAUUUGGUCAGGGCAUGGAUGGAAGACCUCCAAGGAAAACAGAGGAGCUGCAGAGAGUGAGAUUGGUGUUAAUGACCAUGUGAAGCUGGAAGAAGGCACCGUCAGUGGGGUAAUUCUGCUUUGACCCUGGCUUAAAAACUUCUGCACUUGUAAUGGGAGCUGGUUUUAAAAAUGUAUGUGAUUAAUCAUAAAAACUUGAUC